GCUUCCUUAGCUCAGUUGGUUAGAGCUAUCGGCUCAUAACCGAUUGGUCGUAGGUUCGAAUCCUACAGGAAGCA
rnacentral:tRNA from 1 species